rnacentral:lncRNA from 1 species
GAACCUUGCAAGACAGACAUGUACACAAUAACAUUAGUCCAUGCAUCGAAUAUAGUAGUCCUUUUGCUUAAAGUAUCCAUGAAACAAGGUUUACAAGGAAAACUAAACAUUGACUAAUGAACCAUAAAAGUGACGUGAAGGUCGGAUCAUACCUGUAAGAGAGAAACAUAUACCUUACCAUCAUUCCAUACACCAAAUACAGUUGAC